UACAGAGGUCCCAAGCGUUGUUCGGAUUCACUGGGCGUAAAGGGUGCGCAGGCGGUUGGGUGUGUCAGAUGUGAAAUCCCGAGGCUUAACCUCGGAACUGCGUCUGAAACUACUCGACUAGAGUACUGGAGAGGGUAACGGAAUUCACGGUGUAGCAGUGAAAUGCGUAGAUAUCGUGAGGAACACCAGAGGCGAAGGCGGUUACCUGGACAGUUACUGACGCUCAGGCACGAAAGCAUGGGGAGCAAAAGGG
rnacentral:rRNA from 1 species